rnacentral:rRNA from 1 species
GAGUUUGAUUCUGGCUCAGAUUGAACGCUGGCGGCAGGCCUAACACAUGCAAGUCGAGCGGAAACGGCAACAUUGACUCUUCGGAUGAUUUGUUGGACGUCGAGCGGCGGACGGGUGAGUAAUGCUUAGGAAUUUGCCCAGUCGAGGGGGAUAACUAUUGGAAACGAUAGCUAAUACCGCAUACGCCCUACGGGGGAAAGAGGGGGACCUUCGGGCCUCUUGCGAUUGGAUAAGCCUAAGUGAGAUUAGCUAGUUGGUGAGGUAAGAGCUCACCAAGGCGACGAUCUCUAGCUGGUCUGAGAGGAUGAUCAGCCACACUGGGACUGAGACACGGCCCAGACUCCUACGGGAGGCAGCAGUGGGGAAUAUUGCACAAUGGGGGAAACCCUGAUGCAGCCAUGCCGCGUGUGUGAAGAAGGCCUUCGGGUCGUAAAGCACUUUCAGCAGUGAGGAAGAUGUGUAGAUUAAUACUCUGCACAUUUGACGUUAGCUGCAGAAGAAGCACCGGCUAACUCCGUGCCAGCAGCCGCGGUAAUACGGAGGGUGCGAGCGUUAAUCGGAAUUACUGGGCGUAAAGCGCAUGCAGGUGGUUUGUUAAGUCAGAUGUGAAAGCCCGGGGCUCAACCUCGGAAGGUCAUUUGAAACUGGCAAGCUAGAGUACUGUAGAGGGGGGUAGAAUUUCAGGUGUAGCGGUGAAAUGCGUAGAGAUCUGAAGGAAUACCGGUGGCGAAGGCGGCCCCCUGGACAGAUACUGACACUCAGAUGCGAAAGCGUGGGGGAGCAAACAGGAUUAGAUACCCUGGUAGUCCACGCCGUAAACGAUGUCUACUUGGANGUUGUUCCCUUGAGGAGUGGCUUNCGGANCUAACGCGUUAAGUAAACCCCCUGGGGAGUACGGUCNCAAGAUUAAACUCNAAUGAAUUGACGGGGNCCNCCCAACNGG